CCUUGACGUCUGUUCGGCAGUUUACAAGUUACAAGUAUCUACUGAGGAUCUACGCCUCAACCAACUGAAGGAAGGAGCGCCAAAUAUCGCUACCCUGGUUUUAAUGCCCUAGCCUCCGCCGGAUCCGCCCCCUGGGGCUCCGAAUGGACCGGGACGACCCUCAGCUCCACCCACGCUUUCCCAGAGGUCUCGCCGCCUGGUGGCCGUCUGGCACCCCUUUUCCUGUCCAGCCCGGCGAUCUCAAGGAGUCAGACCGCAGGCCCUACGACCCUUCCGGCACCCCCUUCCGGCCAGCGGUGUUAUCCUGGUCUUAA